GCUUAACACAUGCAAGUCGAGCGGUAAGGCCCUUCGGGGUACACGAGCGGCGAACGGGUGAGUAACACGUGGGUGAUCUGCCUCGCACUUCGGGAUAAGCCUGGGAAACUGGGUCUAAUACCGGAUAUGACCUUUCAGUGCAUGCUGUUGGGUGGAAAGAUUUAUCGGUGCGAGAUGGGCCCGCGGCCUAUCAGCUUGUUGGCGGGGUAACGGCCCACCAAGGCGACGACGGGUAGCCGACCUGAGAGGGUGACCGGCCACACUGGGACUGAGACACGGCCCAGACUCCUACGGGAGGCAGCAGUGGGGAAUAUUGCACAAUGGGCGGAAGCCUGAUGCAGCGACGCCGCGUGAGGGAUGACGGCCUUCGGGUUGUAAACCUCUUUCGACAGGGACGAAGCGCAAGUGACGGUACCUGUAGAAGAAGCACCGGCCAACUACGUGCCAGCAGCCGCGGUAAUACGUAGGGUGCGAGCGUUGUCCGGAAUUACUGGGCGUAAAGAGCUUGUAGGCGGUUUGUCGCGUCGUCCGUGAAAACUUGGGGCUCAACCCCAAGCUUGCGGGCGAUACGGGCAGACUUGAGUACUUCAGGGGAGACUGGAAUUC
rnacentral:rRNA from 1 species